rnacentral:rRNA from 1 species
AUUGAACGCUGGCGGCAUGCCUUACACAUGCAAGUCGAACGGCAGCACGGGAGCAAUCCUGGUGGCGAGUGGCGAACGGGUGAGUAAUAUAUCGGAACGUGCCCAGUCGUGGGGGAUAACGCAGCGAAAGCUGUGCUAAUACCGCAUACGAUCUAUGGAUGAAAGCGGGGGAUCGCAAGACCUCGCGCGAUUGGAGCGGCCGAUAUCAGAUUAGGUAGUUGGUGGGGUAAAGGCUCACCAAGCCGACGAUCUGUAGCUGGUCUGAGAGGACGACCAGCCACACUGGAACUGAGACACGGUCCAGACUCCUACGGGAGGCAGCAGUGGGGAAUUUUGGACAAUGGGCGCAAGCCUGAUCCAGCAAUGCCGCGUGCAGGAUGAAGGCCUUCGGGUUGUAAACUGCUUUUGUCAGGGAAGAAAUCUUCUGGGUUAAUACCUCGGGAGGAUGACGGUACCUGAAGAAUAAGCACCGGCUAACUACGUGCCAGCCGCCGCAGUAAGAC